rnacentral:rRNA from 1 species
AUACGUAGGGUGCGAGCGUUGUCCGGAAUUACUGGGCGUAAAGAGCUCGUAGGUGGUUUGUCGCGUCGUCUGUGAAAUUCCGGGGCUUAACUCCGGGCGUGCAGGCGAUACGGGCAUAACUUGAGUACUGUAGGGGAGACUGGAAUUCCUGGUGUAGCGGUGAAAUGCGCAGAUAUCAGGAGGAACACCGGUGGCGAAGGCGGGUCUCUGGGCAGUAACUGACGCUGAGUGGCGAAAGCAUGGGUAGCGAACAGGAUUAUAUACCCUGGUGGUCCAUGCCGUAAACGGUGGGCGCUAGGUUUAGGGGUCUUCCACGACUUCUGUGCCGUAGCUAACGCAUUAAGCGCCCCGCCUGGGGAGUACGGCCGCAAGGCUAAAACUCAAAGGAAUUGACGGGG